CGGCUUACUCUCUCACUCGCACACAUGCUCUCUCUGCUGCCUUCGUUCGCCACUCCAGCUCUAACUCGACACUUGGAGACGGAUGCGAGGACCAGAAGAACUAAAGAUGCCGAGUUAAGUUUUGUCUACCUCUAACUCCUUGUCUGCGUCCCAAUCUACUUAUCUUCUUGUCACCUCCUCUUUACCGGUCUGUCCUUAGACUCUCGGCGCCUUCACUCAAACACCUGUGCAAGAGAAAAACACAGACGUGGAUUAUACCACUCUCUCCUGUACAUCCUCUCCAGGCAGCACUGCCAGUACCUUGCGCACCACAACUCCAGACAUGAGGGCCACGCCUUGACUUUGUGUGUUGUGUAGGUUAGUUUCAGGUCAGUGACUCGCCGCCUUGAUCCACUUCCAAGGAAUCUCCUGUGAGUGCAUUAAGAGAUUGUUGAAGGAAAGACGGAUGCAUGAGGCUUUAAGGAGAAGACGAUCCAACUAGAAGGAGCUAUUUUUUGUUUCACUCGGACAAACUUAAACUCAUGUGUGCAUGUGUAUCAAUCCACCCCUCCCUCUCCCGUUCCCACUUCCCCAUCCAGGUGUGCCGAACCCAUGCUACCGGACCCUGAUGGUGUGUGUACCUGAGCCAGCUGUGGAGGGUGAGCGACAGACCGACAUCUCAGAAGGAAACAAACGCUGCAAACAAAGAUGGAGGACCAUCACUAGAGGAGCACUGAAUCAACCUCUAUACCCUCAAAAAUGGACAUUAUCAGAUUAAUCUUCCUCCUGUGUUAGCUUUUACUACGCACCCACUAUGUUAAGGGUCGGUUUUGACCCGUGUCUUAAAUCAGCUGUAAAUGACACUAAAAACAAUCCUCUAUAGUCCAAUUUGGUUCACAUCUCUAGGUUUCCUUGUUAGGCUUCAUUAUCCAUGAAAAUAUUGUAAUAUUUUUCGUUGUAGGCCUCUGAGCCUUUCUUUGUCAGUAUACCCCUCACACAGACGUCUAUCCUGAAUUGAUCUCACAUGUCUGGACAUGUCCCACAUUGUUUUUUGUGUAGGGAAUUACAUGGAAAAAUGAGAAUUUCCUAAAUCUCACAUGAUUGGAAGAGGAUCUAACUGUCAGUGUAGUGCCUGAUAGUGCACUUAUGAUUUCAGCUUUUGCUCUAAUUAUUAUAUAUUGAUCUAACCAGGUCAACAGCGACCCAUUUUAUAAUUUAGUCAAUUUAAUUUUUUUAUUUCUAUUUUGUUGAAAUAGAAGUUCCUGACAAAGUCAAAAAGUCUUGAUGCAAAUAAAGUAAUUUAUGUGGUUCUUUUAAGCAUUUAAAAACAAAACCAGGUCGGUUUUGCAGACCCUAACACAGGAGGAGGGUUAAAGUCAUUUUUGUCAGGGAACUUGAGUGAAAAGAGUUUACUUGGAUAUUGGGGAAAGAGUGUUGCUGCUUCAGGAGUGACCCUGUUAACAGGCUACAGCUGCAGCUACAGCAUAUGGUCUCCAACUCAAACAUAUUACAUUCAAAUGCAGUUGCCAUGGUUCCCUGUAUACAAACACAGAGGGAACAUGGCUGGACUGUAAACUAGGUGAGGAUGUCAAGUAUAAUGUUCUCGUUUGAAAUAAUGACCCUCCAUGACCCCUAUUCUUUUCUUUUAAUCAGAUAUGAACCUGCGAAGAGACAAAAACUGUUCCAGCAACUGAAAAACUGGAGCACAAAAGUAGCCCACAACAGAUCAUUUUAGCUUUGAGCAAAGAGACUCUGACUGUAAUCAUUUCAUUUAGGCUGAAGAAGUCUGGUUAGUGUGACAUUCGCUGCUAUUUAAGGUGAGAAGACCCAAGAAAAGACACUAACGGCAGAGAAAAGGCAGGAAGACACCGCACCUUAAGGCUACAACAGAGAGCUGUACCAUAUUGAAUACACAUGAAGUAAACACAGCAGCUUGUGAGGAAAAGAAAAUGUCAGACUUGCAGUGAUAAGGCAGAAAAUGUACGUAGGUUCUGUGCUGAUCUUAAUGAAAUGUACAGUUUUAUAUGAAUAAUAACAGCUGUGGAGAAGGUUAUCUGAUGUGGACCCAGCUCAACCAAUGAGUGAAGUAAAGUCGAUUAUUUACAGCAAGAGAAAUAUAAUAUUUUCUUUUAAAACAAGACCAAUCUUUUCCAAAUCAACACUUGGCAUAAAAUAAUUAAUUAUAUAUUUAUUUCGAAGUGAGCAGCUGUGUCCUUGGCAGGAUAAUACAGCGAGCGAGCUGUUUGAAUGAGCAGCACCGCUCCUUAUCAGAGUUCAGAGUCAGUCAUCUUGCAUUCACACAGAUAUCCCAGCUCUGGCUUUAAGGGACUUAAAUAACACGCUGCCUGGCCGAGACAUACAUUAUGCCGUCAGAGCAAUCAUAAACAAUAUUUUUCUGCAGAUGGGAUCUGCACUGUGAGCAGUAAAAGCGAGGCCUUACACAAGCACUGUACUGCAGCUGAAGAUAAGGUAGUGGCGACUAUUGUAGAGUGGCUUUGUACUGUAGAGCAGUUUCAUAAUAAAUUCAACCUGAACACGUUUGUGUCUUUUCUUCUGUUUUAAACCUGCGAGCUGGUUUAGACCUGCAUCACUCCAUUAUUUUGGGCGAUUGCUGGAAAACUGCAGCUGACCUUUGUGUGUAAUGGUGAGUAGGUAUCCAUGGAAG
rnacentral:lncRNA from 1 species